UGGGGAAUAUUGCACAAUGGGCGCAAGCCUGAUGCAGCCAUGCCGCGUGUGUGAAGAAGGCCUUCGGGUUGUAAAGCACUUUCAGCGGGGAGGAAGGCGAUAAGGUUAAUAACCUCAUCGAUUGACGUUACCCGCAGAAGAAGCACCGGCUAACUCCGUGCCAGCAGCCGCGGUAAUACGGAGGGUGCAAGCGUUAAUCGGAAUUACUGGGCGUAAAGCGCACGCAGGCGGUCUGUCAAGUCGGAUGUGAAAUCCCCGGGCUCAACCUGGGAACUGCAUUCGAAACUGGCAGGCUAGAGUCUUGUAGAGGGGGAUAGAAUUCCAGGUGUAGCGGUGAAAUGCGUAGAGAUGUGGAGGAAUACCGGUGGCGAAGGCGGCCCCCUGGACAAAGACUGACGCUCAGGUGCGAAAGCGUGGGGAGCAAACAGG
rnacentral:rRNA from 1 species